AGAAAAAGAAAGAGAAAGAAAGAGAAAAAGAAAGAGAAAAAGAAAGAGAGAAAGAAAGAGAAAGAGAGAGAAAGAAAGAGAGAAAGAAAGAGAUAGAAAAAAGAGAGCAAAAGAAAAAGAAAGAAAGAAAGAAAAAAAUAAGAGCCACAGUUUGUUGACUUUCAAAUGUUGUAAGACAUGUCUAUUUGCUUAGGAUACCUAUUAUUCAGUUUACAGAGACUGGCCUGAGCCUGAGGUUCAGCUGUGUGAAUGCAGUUUGUUUUCAUUGCUAGUCUCCUCUGGCACCUCCUCAUUGGGAGGCACAAUGCAGUUCUGCUCUCUUUCACCUUUUAUUACAGUAGCCCUCUGAAGCUCAAAUCAGGAAGAGUGUGUGCUCUAAAAAAACCCCAACUAUCUAAUCUAAGAACAUCUAUCAUGAGAAGCAGGGGACACACAGCAAAAAACCAGUUACAUACUCUUUUUAUAGCUAUUUAAUUACAGUGUUUUACAGUUUAUAUAAAUACGCUGUGAGUUUCCUCUGCUGUUCUUUUGCCAAGACAGGUUUCUUUUUGAUGUCAUGCCAGAGUACAUAUCCUGAAAGCAUCUGUAGAAAUGCACUGGAAACAGAGGUAAAAGAAAGAAAGAAUAUAAGCAUUAGUUUUACAGGAAUGUGAAAAAAGAGGUUCUUCCUCUUAUUUCCUAUUAGCAUGUGCAGUUGGGUUUUCAGGAAGGUGUUCUCACAAAAAUCUUGUGGCUCCCGUGGGUAGAACUGAGUGGCCAUGAAGAAAGCAGUACAUGGAAAUGUGUCCUUUGGAUUUUCUCAUAUAAAGGGCUGAAACUUCUUUUUCCAUCUUUAAAACCAUAAAGGGAUGCAAUGUCUUUUGGCAAUAUGAAAUGCGCUUGUUGGUGACAUCUCUGCUUUCCUCUUCAGAAAUGUACCACCUCUUUAGCAUAAUAUAGUGGAUUAGUUGGAGCAGGGCAUCUUUCCCCAUAACUUAGUCUUUAAAACAGCUAAAUGAACACCAGAGACAGUAACAGACACUGCAAAGUUUAAAAAAUAAAAAAGGUAAGAGAUAAAUCUCUUCAUAUGGAUUUUUCUAAUUGCCAAGGGUGUGUGUUCUAUCUGGCAGAGAUGAUUUAGCAAUACCCACCAAGAGGAUGAGUUCAAGUGUCAGAAAGGAGUAACGAUAACUCUUCUUUUGGAUAGGUUGUCAGAAUUUUAACAAGCACCAUCAACUUUCUCUGUAGCAUCCUUAUUUCAAAAUCUGGCCACUUGGCAUUGGGGGGAAAGGACAAUUUAAAUAUUCUGAGAAUAGUCUAUACCCACAGAUAUUAGUGCCUAAUUGUGGAAGAACACAGUCCCUAUGUAAGCCAUGCUAGCUGGCCUUCAAUAGCCAGAAACUGUUGCUCCCAUGGGAGGCAAUGUCAGCUGGAAACAUACAGCUAUAAAAUGAAGAGAAAGUCUGUUCUUCUGUUUCCUUGGUUUAACACAGAAGUUGAUCAUUGCUCACUCCCUGCCUGUUCUCACUGGAGAAUCAAGGCUUUACAGUGAUACAGUCACAAGGGGAAAUGCUGAACGAUAAACUGCAGACAUUUGGGACAAACAUAGAAUUACAAAAGAUUACCUACAAGUAGAGAUGUUGAACCCAUACACCUUUUACAUGCAAUGUUCAUACCCAAGAUAGCUAAUGUCAAUUGUGCUAUUAUAUGCUUACAAAAAGGUGAGCCCAGGAAACACAUUUGAAUUCACAGAAAAAACACACAAAUAAAGAUGGAAAGUAAAGUCCCAUUCAGUGACCAGGGCUUGCCAAACUCAGUUCCUACAAAAUGGGAAGAACCAAAACCUGCAUUCAAAGACUGAGGGACACAGUGAAACAGUGGCUGCCUGGGCUAAUAUGACAACUUCAGGAGAUAAAUAACCAUGGAAACCUCAGUAAAAUGAAUGCAUCUUCAAUGAAAUUAAGCAGAGAAAGGAAGAAAUGGUAACUGGAGAAUCCUUCAGAAGCAAAAAUACAUGUAUUUCCUUCCCCAGAGGUGCUUGUGGUACAAACAGGUUUUAUUUUUAAACAGUGUAUGUUCUCACUGGCAUUUAUGAGAAACUAUUUGGUGCAAAGACUUUGUAAUUUCUCUUUUAUAGAGUUGCCACAUUUCUGCAUGUAUGAAGGCCUUGAUUUUAAAAGCUCUUGGACAAACUCAUACUCAGUUUUUGUUUAAACAAGAAAUAAGAAAUAAUCUACCUUCCUCACUUCUGUCAAUAGCUUCAAAAAUAAUAAACCCCAUCGAAAACAGAGUUUGUUAAGUUGGAUUCUUCCCCUUACUGACAUCUUCAAGACCCUGAAGAGAAGUUGAGACUGAGAAGGUAGCCUGGAACCAUUCUUGGAACAGAUGUGAUGUCAAAGUGCACCAGCAAACAAGUCUCAUUAAGAUGCCUCAUCCUGGCACCAACUACUUGGCAGGUAUCAUGAAUAAGAGAAUGCAGGCCCUGUUAAAAUUUAAAGAACUUCUUAACCUGGUUGAAGAAGGCAUUCAGAAGAAUUUUAGGAUUAGUCUUGUGCUUCAUGAAAAAAAAGUCUUUGUGGUUGUGAUGUAUGCAGGUUAUCCUCAUUUAUCAAGACAAGAGCUAUAAGGUUCCUGCAUUUUAAGGAUUGCUAUUAUCAGUAUUCCAUGUGGCUAAAUCUUGAAGAGCAAUCGUGAAUAUACAGGAUGUUGAGUUUAGUUAGAAAACUAAAUUCAUUUAUGUAAUCCACUAAAACCCACCUCCUUGGCCUGCUUGGUCAAAGGAAUGAGUUGACCAUUAUUCAAGACUGGUUUUACAGGACCAUUGCUGGUAAUGCUUAUGAGACAUAUAAAAUAAAUAUCUAUAGAUAAGUA